AUUGAACGCUGGCGGCAUGCUUUACACAUGCAAGUCGAACGGCAGCGCGGGGGCAACCCUGGCGGCGAGUGGCGAACGGGUGAGUAAUAUAUCGGAACGUACCCAGAAGUGGGGAUAACGUAGCGAAAGUUACGCUAAUACCGCAUACGAUCUACGGAUGAAAGUGGGGGACCUUCGGGCCUCAUGCUUUUGGAGCGGCCGAUAUCUGAUUAGCUAGUUGGUGAGGUAAAGGCUCACCAAGGCGACGAUCAGUAGCUGGUCUGAGAGGACGACCAGCCACACUGGAACUGAGACACGGUCCAGACUCCUACGGGAGGCAGCAGUGGGGAAUUUUGGACAAUGGGGGGCAACCCUGAUCCAGCAAUGCCGCGUGAGUGAAGAAGGCCUUCGGGUUGUAAGACGCUUUUGUCUAGGGAAGAAACGGGGGU
rnacentral:rRNA from 1 species